UGAGGAAUAUUGCCCAAUGGAGGAAACUCUGAGGCAGCGACGCCGCGUGGGUGAUGAAGGCCUUCGGGUCGUAAAGCCCUUUUCUGCAUGACGAGCAAGGACGGUAGUGCAGGAAAAAGUCUCGGCUAACUACGUGCCAGCAGCCGCGGUAAAACGUAGGAGGCAAGCGUUAUCCGGAGUUACUGGGCGUAAAGCGUGCGUAGGCGGAUGAGUAAGUGGGUGGGUGAAAGCGCUCGGCUAAACCGGGCGAGUGCCAUUCAGACUGCUUGUCUAGAGGCGGAUAGAGGGGUGCGGAAUUCCGGGUGUAGCGGUGAAAUGUGUAGAGAUCCGGAGGAACACCAGUGGUGCAAACGGCGCCCUGGGUCCGAACUGACGCUGAUGCACGAAAGCGUGGGGAGCGAACGGGAUUAGAGACCCCGGUAGUCCACGCCGUAAACGAUGUCAACUAGGUGUCCACUGGACUACGGUCCAGGGGGUGCCGACGCUAACGCACUAAGUUGACCGCCUGGGGA
rnacentral:rRNA from 1 species